UACAGAGGUCCCAAGCGUUGUUCGGAUUCAUUGGGCGUAAAGGGUGCGUAGGUGGCGCCGUAAGUCGGGUGUGAAAUUUCGGAGCUUAACUCCGAAACUGCAUUCGAUACUGCGGUGCUUGAGGACUGGAGAGGAGACUGGAAUUCAUGGUGUAGCAGUGAAAUGCGUAGAGAUCAUGAGGAAGACCAGUGGCGAAGGCGGGUCACUGGGCCGCAACUGACGCUGAGGAGCGAAAGCGUGGGUAGCAAACAGG
rnacentral:rRNA from 1 species